UCCCCCUUAGAUGAUGACCCAGCUUCCUUUCCAAAUACAGGAUCUUCAUCCUUUGGCUCCCCCUCAGAUGAUGACCCAGCUUCUUCUUCUUCUUCUAUCUUCUUCUUUGUCUUCUUCUCUUGUUUCCUUCUACUCUCCUUGCCCUUUCUUGAGUGCCUCUUACUCUGCCUCUUUCUAUGCCUCUUUUUCUCCCCCUUUUUGUCAUUAAU
rnacentral:lncRNA from 1 species